rfam:Picea glauca, whole genome shotgun sequence.
AUGUACAUUCCUACAACAUAGUGUUAAUGCAUUGAAUCCCAUUAGAACUUUGCGGUUAAGCACACUUGGGCUAGAGUAGUAUUGGGAUGGGUGACCGACUGAGAAGUCUUAGUGUUUUACAUG